GAGAGGACAAGUUGAAAAUAAUAGAAACAUUGGGCGCAACGGCACAAAAACAACGCAUAUAGUAAAUUUUAUCUUUUGAAAAAUAGGUAGCUUAAAGUUGCAGCUUUCAGGAGACAGCGAUCUCUCCACCUUCGCCGAGGAUAAUUUAUUGAAGACAAAAUCUCUGGGAAACAGAGGGAAGGAGGAAUGAGUCCAAUCUUAAGAACCAGAGAAAUGAGUUUGUGUUCCUUGAUAUUGUUUUUUGCUUCAAUUUCUCUGCAAUUCAUUUCAGGUACUUCUGAUGAUCCAUCUAGUUCCAAAAAUGGCUCAAAAGCCAAUGCUCAUACUUCUUCUGGUAGCAAUUCUGGGAGAAAGAUUGUCAUCAUACUUCUUCUUAUAUUUAUGGCAGUAGGGCUGUUUUCAUUUUUCCUUUUCAAAUUUUGGCAAAAGAAGAAAAGAGAAGAACAGUAUGCUCGUCUUCUCAAGUUGUUUGAAGAGGAUGAUGAGCUUGAGGUUGAACUGGGACUGCGGGAUUGAUGCUUGGAAUGUUAAAAUCACAUCCAUUGUAGUUUGAGGUGCGUCUAUUAAUUGCUGAAAUGGAAAUAUUUCUAGGAAAACUUCUUACCCUGAGUGCCAUGAUAUGGUAUGUCGGGAUGUCCUGGUUAGAAGUUAGCUGUUUUUCAGUCACAGUGCUGUAAUCAAUUAUCCAAAUUAGAACUUGUAAUGAAUAUGAAUCCUUUAGAGUAUUUACAGAAGAGGACAUAAGAUGUGUGAAGGGUCUCAGUUCCAGAUUGUAAAAAAACUAUUCAUUCCAAUAGACAUUGAAGUUGUAUAAGAGUCAAGAGUUUCAACUGACGAUUCUUGAAUAGCAGGCGGAAAGGACAAGUGAUUCAACUCACACUCUGGGUUCUGGAGGUCAGAUCAGGUUCAGUUCAAGAUUUUGGUAUCUGCUAUAUUUGACGCAAUAUUUUCCACUGUAGUGUGAGUUCGUCGGCACACUCUUCAUCUUUUCCUUGUUUAGAGAAGGUGUUUUCUCAUUUCCUCGUAGCAUGGCUGCAUUUAUUUUGCUGAGUUACUGUGAUCUACACUGUUCCCUGAAUUACCCUUUUUUAAUUUUUUUCCUUUUUCAUGUUCAAAUUGAGUUUGAAGUUUAUAUGAAAGUGUGGAUUCUCCAUUGAACUGUAUUAAUGCCUCUUGGGUAUCAAGGCCCCAUCUUUGGCACAAUGUAUAUGGCUGUAUGGUAUUACUUGGAAGUUUUACUGAUAUCUUUGAACUUAUACCAGGGGUAUUGUGGAAUUAGAAUAGGCCUGUAAGAGCAUUGAAUCCCAAGUUAUUAUGGAUA